rnacentral:snoRNA from 1 species
UGUCCCGUAUUAGUGCCGUCUUUCAUCCUUCAUUGAACGUAUGGCUAUGCUAACGGGGUAGAAAAACACUGUCACGGUCUGAAGGUGUGGCUGCUGAAUGUGCGCCUCACUAAAUAAAGUGACAGAACAAAAAUAU